rnacentral:rRNA from 1 species
AUACGGAGGUGGCUAGCGUUGUUCGGAAUUACUGGGCGUAAAGCGCGCGUAGGCGGCGUAGCAAGUCAGAGGUGAAAGGCCUGGGCUCAACCCAGGAACUGCCCUUGAUACUGCUAUGCUUGAGUCCGGGAGAGGGUAGUGGAAUUUCCAGUGUAGAGGUGAAAUUCGUAGAUAUUGGAAAGAACACCGGUGGCGAAGGCGGCUACCUGGCCCGGUACUGACGCUGAGGUGCGAAAGCGUGGGGAGCAAACAGGAUUAGAUACCCGAGUAGUCC